GCACUAUUGGAGCGGCCGAUGUCGGAUUAGCUAGUUGGUGGGGUAAAAGCUUACCAAGGCGACGAUCCGUAGCUGGUCUGAGAGGACGAUCAGCCACACUGGAACUGAGACACGGUCCAG
rnacentral:rRNA from 1 species